AAUUAGUUGUUUUAGCAGUUACAAGAGCCAUAUGUCAGCAAAAUCAUACCAAAAAAAGGUGUAUUUAUAACUUAUAUAAAUGCUUCUAUUUGACAUGCACGUUUGUCAUCUAAGAAGGUGGGACAAGAAAAAAUGCCAUUUUAGGAGGAGUUUGAGAUCUUUUUGGUAUUUUGAAUAUUUUGGAACACAUUCUACUACAACUAUAUUUAUAUUUUGUUUCAAGACAACAAUAAUUUUCACAACAAGUGCAUGUGUUGGUGUUUUAUGCAUGGAUUUUUUGAAUUUGGCCGU